rnacentral:rRNA from 1 species
ACAACGGAGAGUUUGAUCCUGGCUCAGAACGAACGUUGGCGGCGUGGUUUAGGCAUGCAAGUCGAACGAGAAAGCUUCCUUCGGGAAGUGAGUAAAGUGGCGAACGGGAGAGUAACGCGUGGGAAACCUACCCUUCAGCGGGGGACAACACCUCUAACGAGGUGCUAAUACCGCAUACGACCCGGGCAUCGCAUGGUACCCGGGUGAAAGAUGGCCUCUGCUCGCAAGCUGUCACUGGAGGAUGGUCCCGCGUCCCAUUAGUUAGUUGGUGGGGUAAUGGCCUACCAAGGCGACGAUGGGUAGCCGGCCUGAGAGGGUGUCCGGCCUCACUGGGACUGAGAUACGGCCCAGACUCCUACGGGAGGCAGCAGUCGAGAGGCUUCGGCAAUGGGGGAAACCCUGACCGAGCGACGCCGCGUGAGGGAUGAAGCUCUUCGGGGUGUAAACCUCUUUUCUGGGGGAAGA